AUGUCAUGGUGUGGACAUUUCUUAAGCAAAUCGUUCAAUCGCUCCUAUGCCUCAUGAAACAUUUCCCCAUCCCCUUGUGAGAAUUCACGAAUUGAAGUUCUCAUUGC